CCUUGACAUACAAGGCGGCGGCUAUGCGUGAGAGUUAGGCUCACGGUUCGGGCUAGUGAAUACCCGUAGCAG
rnacentral:sRNA from 12 species